UGCCACGUUUCCAGAAGAAGACUUAGAAGAAGUACCUGCCCUAAUACCAGAGUUCCAGCCUCAAACCAGAGCUACCGUCCUGAGCUCAUGUAUAUAAGCAGCAAAGGACUCCUAAGAAUAGCUGCCCUGACAAGCCAGCACAGAUUUAUCCUAUGAUACAGGAUGGCAGUGUCAUUGUGCACCAUUUGAUCAUGAGAAGAUGUAAAUGCCCUUGUCCCUCGUCCAAGUUUACCACAGCUAUACAGACUGCCCACACCAUCUCUCACUUCUCUGUCAGUUCGUGCUGGUUUCUACAAGAAGGCCGAGGCCAAUCUUAGGGACAUGUGGCCUCAUUUCCACCACCCUGCACCUCCUGCAUUGAGGACUGAGGCAGAAUCUGCCUCAACGUGUUGCUGUUUGGUUCUAGUGAUGAUCGCACUCUAUUUCACCUCUACUCCCAGCUGUAUUCUACCAAUACCGUCAAAAACCACUGAGAAUACAGUCCCUGAUUUUCUCUUC